rnacentral:rRNA from 1 species
CCUACGGGCGGCAGCAGUGAGGAAUAUUGGUCAAUGGGCGAGAGCCUGAACCAGCCAAGUCGCGUGAGGGAGUACUGCCCUAUGGGUUGUAAACCUCUUUUGUCGGGGAGCAAAAGCCGGACGUGUCCGGCUGUGAGAGUACCCGAAGAAAACGCAUCGGCGAACUCCGUGCCAGCAGCCGCGGUAAUACGGGGGAUUCGAGCGUUAUCCGGAUUUAUUGGGUUAAAAGGGGGCGCAGGCGGAUUUUUAAGUCAGCGGUAAAAUCGUGGGGCUCAACCCCAUCCAGCCGUUGAAACUGGGGAUCUAGAGUGUGCGAGAGGUAUGCGGAAUGCGUGGUGUAGCGGUGAAAUGCAUAGAUAUCACGCAGAACCCCGAUUGCGAAGGCAGCAUACCGGUGCACAACUGACGCUCAGGCACGAAAGCGUGGGUAUCGAACAGGAUUAGAUACCCCAGUAGUC